rnacentral:rRNA from 1 species
GAUGAACGCUGGCGGCGUGCCUAAUACAUGCAAGUCGAGCGAACAGAUGAGGAGCUUGCUCCUCUGACGUUAGCGGCGGACGGGUGAGUAACACGUGGAUAACCUACCUAUAAGACUGGGAUAACUUCGGGAAACCGGAGCUAAUACCGGAUAAUAUAUUGAACCGCAUGGUUCAAUAGUGAAAGACGGUUUUGCUGUCACUUAUAGAUGGAUCCGCGCCGCAUUAGCUAGUUGGUAAGGUAACGGCUUACCAAGGCAACGAUGCGUAGCCGACCUGAGAGGGUGAUCGGCCACACUGGAACUUAGACACGGUCCAGACUCCUACGGGAGGCAGCAGUAGGGAAUCUUCCGCAAUGGGCGAAAGCCUUACGGAGGAACGCCGCGUGAGUGAUGAAGGGCUUCGGAUCUUAAAACUCUGUUAUUAGGGAAGAACAAAUGUGUAAGUAACUAUGCACGUCUUGACGGUACCUAAUCAGAAAGCCACGGCUAACUACGUG